GCUUCUUGGCGUUGCCGGGUGCAGGAGUCUGAAUUAAGCUAGACCCAUAUAUCAGACCCCGUCCUGCCCCCUCAGAGCCAGGACUCCCUCCCCCGCCACCCCUUCCUCUCCAGGUUUAUUGCUCAGCAUCCCCUCCCCUGCGAGACCCCUCCCUCCCCCGGGCCCAAGCCGCGAUCGCAGUGGGGUGGGCUUUCUGGGGUGCGGGUCCGGAGGUGGCAAACGUGAAGCCGGUGGUGGUCCCUCCCUUUACAAGUUCCGCCCUCCUCCUUUCCUCCUCCCCCAGCGACCGAGCCUUCGCCCGCUCGCGCGGAAGGCGGCAGGAGGGGUUAAGGGCUCGGGGCGUCACGUGGGACGUUCACCAAACCACUCAGAGGAGCGUGAGAGUGAACGGCCGGGCCGCCAAGCCGCGAGGCCGCGGCGCGACGGGUGUCUCCGUUCCCAGCGUCAUUAUGCUCGGCUUCCCGGCGUCUGCGUCUUGGCAGAGGCAGAGGAGGCUCCCGGCCGUGGCGUGUGUUGUAGCCCCGACUGUGGGAUAGUGUAGAUGAAAUGCCACUGCCUUUGGCCUCGUGCUCCUGGCUGUUCCCGCAUCUUCUACCACUGGAUAGAUAAAAAGUUUUGUAUACUUUUCUUAUAUCCCAAGGCCGUGGGAAUCACUUUCUAAAUGCGUCACUUGAGGUUGCUAUCAGAACCCUAAAGUUUUAUUUUCAGGCAGCCCCUCUUCACUCUUGGGACAAGAUACACCACCAGCUAUGCCCUUUCAACCUGGCAUCUUCAGGGAAAAUUACUUUGUUAACUCCAGAAAGAAAUUUUAUGAAGGGCUUCAAGUGGUUUUGCUUGGAUGAUUCAUUCCUUUCUGUCACUGACAAUGGAGCUAAUUUGCUUUAUCAAGCCCAGAACACAUGAUUUACCUCUG